GCAUUCAUUUUUAAGAUAACAUGGCAACCAACAUCAACUACGCCUGUUUUUUCGUUGCCAUUCUAUGUAUUGCUUAUGGUUUGAAUCAGGGAGGAGCAGAAAAAUAUAAGAUUUGUACUCCCAUAGGCAAUUGUCCAGGUGACCAUCGAGGAUGUGUUGAUUAUUGCGAAGAAAGGGGGUUUCCUAAGGGAGUAGGCCAGUGCCAAGAUCAUGAUCAGUUAUGUUGUUGUGUCUGGGAAUAGUUAUGUUGUUGGAAUUGACGAUAAUUGUAUCUUCUCAAAGUUUAUUUAAACACACUCUAUAUGUAGUGGAGAAAUAAAUACAUCGAUUUCGAUUUUCAUUCA